rnacentral:rRNA from 1 species
CUUAAACACAUGCAAAGUCGAGCGCCCCGCAAAGGGGGGGCGGGCAGACGGGUGAGUAACGCGUGGGAAUCUACGAGCCUAAGGAAUAACUCGGAAACUGGAACUAAUACCUUAUACGCCCUACGGGGGAAAGAUUUAUCGGGUUUGAUGAGCCCGCGUUGGAUUAGCUAGUUGGUGGGGUAAAGGCCUACCAAGGCGACGAUCCAUAGCUGGUCUGAGAGGAUGAUUAGCCACAUUGGGACUGAGACACGGCCCAAACUCCUACGGGAGGCAGCAGUGGGGAAUAUUGGACAAUGGGCGCAAGCCUGAUCCAGCCAUGCCGCGUGAGUGAUGAAGGUCUUAGGAUUGUAAAGCUCUUUCACCGAUGAAGAUAAUGACGGUAGUCGGAGAAGAAGCCCCGGCUAACUUCGUG